GACGUAGGGCGCGAGCGUUGUCCGGAAUUAUUGGGCGUAAAGAGCUCGUAGGCGGUUUAUCGCGUCUGCUGUGAAAACCCGAGGCUCAACCUCGGGCCUGCAGUGGGUACGGGCAGACUAGAGUGCGGUAGGGGGAGAUUGGAAUUCCUGGUGUAGCGGUGGAAUGCGCAGAUAUCAGGAGGAACACCAAUGGCGAAGGCAGAUCUCUGGGCCGUAACUGACGCUGAGGAGCGAAAGCAUGGGGAGCGAACAGG
rnacentral:rRNA from 1 species